rnacentral:rRNA from 1 species
AGAUUGAACGCUGGCGGCAGGCCUAACACAUGCAAGUCGAGCGGCAGCACGGGUACUUGUACCUGGUGGCGAGCGGCGGACGGGUGAGUAAUGCCUAGGAAUCUGCCUGGUAGUGGGGGAUAACGCUCGGAAACGGACGCUAAUACCGCAUACGUCCUACGGGAGAAAGCAGGGGACCUUCGGGCCUUGCGCUAUCAGAUGAGCCUAGGUCGGAUUAGCUAGUUGGUGAGGUAAUGGCUCACCAAGGCGACGAUCCGUAACUGGUCUGAGAGGAUGAUCAGCCACACUGGAACUGAGACACGGUCCAGACUCCUACGGGAGGCAGCAGUGGGGAAUAGUUGGACAAUGGGCGCAAGCCUGAUCCAGCCAUACCGCGU